AGCUUGAUUUUUUGUAGCUUUCCCAGUCACCAAUGAAUUGGUCCGGCUUUGUUCCACAGCUUACUCUGCUCAAGACUUGCAGGGAUGGGAAUUCCACAGAGUAUUUAUCAGGUAAGAAGCUCUUGAAUUUAGGCAACUU